GACUUUGGCAAAAUAAAAGUCGUAUCAUUAUGAGGCCCUGAUAAAACAAAACUCUGUGAAUCCGCUAAAGAGUAUUUGACCUCCUGAAGAAACUGUGUUCUGUUAGUAAUUUUGAUGGAGUAUGUAAAUGGAUUUCCAAGAAUAGCAUGAGGGGGACAAUCUAGACUCACGAUCAGUGGAGGUUGCUCCACAUUUACAUCGGGCAGACUAUGUUUCGUUAGAACUGCAGAUGUUGUGCUACAGGAAGUCAAUCUUUCUCCAUCUCCGUGAUCCCUUCUCCAUCUCAAACACACAAUACCCAUGUUUAGCUUAGGAAGAUUAACCUCGGGAGUGACAGCAAAAACCUGUUUAAACUCUUCUCCUGCCACAAGCAACACAUGUUCUUCUGGGUUCUUACUCUUAGUUUUCACAUCACAGGUGCUAGCAUCAACUGCCUCCACGGACAUGGACAACAAGCGCAAAGGCACCUCAGUGCAGUUCUUAGCACUAACAACUAGCAUACUUGUUUCAUUCAAAGGCAGAGAUGGUAUUUGGUCAGAAUUGGAAGCUGGUUUAGUCUUUGACAGCAGCAGUGGUUCCCUCCG
rnacentral:misc_RNA from 1 species